rnacentral:rRNA from 1 species
GAUGAACGCUAGCGGCAGGCUUAAUACAUGCAAGUCGAGGGGCAGCAUGACUGUAGCAAUACAGUUGAUGGCGACCGGCAAACGGGUGCGGAACACGUACAGAACCCUCCUUUAAGUGGUGAAUAGCCCAGAGAAAUUUGGAUUAAUACACCGUAACAUAUAGAGUUGGCAUCAAUUUUAUAUUAUAGCUUCGGCGCUUAAAGAUGGCUGUGCGGCUGAUUAGGUAGUUGGCGGGGUAACGGCCCACCAAGUCUACGAUCAGUAGCUGAUGUGAGAGCAUGAUCAGCCACACGGGCACUGAGACACGGGCCCGACUCCUACGGGAGGCAGCAGUAAGGAAUAUUGGACAAUGGACGCAAGUCUGAUCCAGCCAUGCCGCGUGAAGGAUUAAGGUCCUCUGGAUUGUAAACUUCUUUUAUAAGGGACGAAAAAAGGCUUUUCUAAGUCGUCUGACGGUACCUUAUGAAUAAGCACCGGCUAACUCCGUGCCAGCAGCCGCAGUAAAAC